CUCGUGACUUCGGGGUCCUCCGAGACCUCCACCGCGUGGUGGAAGCCCGGACGGAAACACUCUUUGCAACCACACGAGGAUGCCUUUCGUAGGUAGGCAGCACAGGGAACGUCGUCUCUCGCCCGGGGAACCCGGGUGCCAACGAGGGGGAUGCGUGUCUGACCGUUCGAUGCACGGGGCAUGGAGCCAGCCGACAACAACAU
rnacentral:lncRNA from 1 species